rnacentral:rRNA from 1 species
GUCUACAGCCACUCCACACUGAACAAGCCCGAUGUCUGAUCUUGGAAGCUAAGCAGGGUCAGGCCUAGUUAGUACUUGGAUAGGAGACCACCUGCGAAGACCAGGUGCUGUAGGCA